UACAGAGGGGGCGAGCGUUGUUCGGAAUUACUGGGCGUAAAGGGCGCGUAGGCGGUUCGUUAAGUCCUGUGUGAAAUCCCCCGGCUCAACUGGGGAACUGCACAGGAAACUAGCGGGCUUGAGUUCGGGAGAGGGAAGCGGAAUUCCGGGUGUAGCGGUGAAAUGCGUAGAUAUCCGGAGGAACACCGGUGGCGAAGGCGGCUUACUGGACCAUAACUGACGCUGAGGCACGAAAGCGUGGGUAGCAAACAGG
rnacentral:rRNA from 1 species